rnacentral:rRNA from 1 species
GGAGUCUGGGCCGUGUCUCAGUCCCAAUGUGGCCGUUCACCCUCUCAGGCCGGCUAUGGAUCGUCGCUUUGGUGGGCCGUUACCCCGCCAACUGGCUAAUCCAACGCGGGUCCAUCCCAUACCACCGGAGUUUUUCACACUAGGUCAUGCGACCUCGUGCGCUUAUGCGGUAUUAGCAGACAUUUCUGUCUGUUAUCCCCCGGUAUGGGGCAGGUUCCCCACGCGUUACUCACCCGUCCGCCACUAAGAUCAAACUUCUUUGACCGAAGUCUCCAAAAAAUGAUCUCCGUUCGACUUGCAUGUGUUAGGCACGCCGCCAGCGUUCAUCCUGAGCCAUGAUCAAACUACU